GGGAGCCCAGGCCCCUGGAAGCCCCCUACCAUCACCUGGCUCUGAGGGAAAUCAUAAAGGCCUGGCAGGUCUGACUGGACUGCCAGGGGCACCUGAAACUGGCUCAUGACGAGGCCAGAGCAGUCUGAUAGGGCUCCCUUGGGGGCCACUCUCCCACCUGCUGGGGCCCGGGAUCUCGGGGAGGACACCAGCAGCAGUCCCCAGAAGAGGGAUCAUCUUGGCUGGGUGGGUUCUUCACCCUUGCCCACCUUGGACGCAGGCAUGAGGACUGAAGAGUUGUUCUUCAGGAAAGUAAGUCUAGGACCAAGAAGAGACACCAAAAGAGUGUAAUUUCCAACCAACCAUCAAAACAGGGUGUGGACUUGUAUUUGUUGUCAGUCUAAUAAAUGCUUAAUGUUUUAAAUAAUUUUAUUUUUAAUAAAAAUUAUGUAUAUUAAAGAAAAUGA